AUAUGUUCAAGUGUUGGACACGUUUAAAAUCAGAUUUGAUCUGAUUUUUUUUCUCUCCCUAUUAGUCCAUAAGAUGGACACAAAAUUCUCCUCUUCCUCUCUUACAAAUAUGUUUAAGUGUUGGACACAUUUAAAAUCAGAUUUGAUCUGAUUUUGCCUCUUCCUAUUGGUCCAUGAGAUGGACACAAAAGUUCUCCUCUAU
rnacentral:lncRNA from 1 species